rnacentral:rRNA from 1 species
UACAGGGGGUGCAAACGUUGCUCGGAAUUAUUGGGCGUAAAGCGCGCGUAGGCGGUUUUCUAAGUCGGAUGUGAAAGCCCUUGGCUCAACCGAGGAAGUGCAUCCGAAACUGGAAAGCUAGAGUCCCAAAAGAGGAUCGCGGAAUUCCCAGUGUAGAGGUGAAAUUCGUAGAUAUCUGGAGGAACACCGGUGGCGAAGGCGGCAUCCUGGACCGGCAUUGACGCUGAGGAGCGAAAAGCCAGGGG